rnacentral:misc_RNA from 1 species
GAAAUGCGAUAAGUAAUGUGAAUUGCAGAAUUCAGUGAAUCAUCGAAUCUUUGAACGCACAUUGCGCCCUCUGGUAUUCCGGGGGGCAUGCCUGUUCGAGCGUCAUUUCACCACUCAAGCAAUGCUUGGUAUUAGGCACUCGUCCGUCCCUCGCGGCGGGCGGGCCUCAAAACCUUCGGCGAAGUCACACCGGCUUUGGGCGCAGUAGAAUCAUCUUAAACGCUCUGUGAGUCCGGUCGAGUCUUUUGCCGCGAAAGAUUCUCACGAAUCAUCUUUUUCAAAGGUUGACCUCGGAUCAGGUAGGGAUACCCGCUGAACUUAA